CAUUGGGCAUGCAGUAACUAAUUUUGAAGAUUUGGGUUAUUUCCUAUUCAAUAGUUCGGAAGAAAAACGAAACUAGAACUCAAAGUAGGACGUAGAAAAUUUGAGAAGUUAACAACUUGACCAUAAGUUAUUGAGAUGAACUCCACAAAGAGGAAACUAUUUUUCAGGUGGUUGAUACAAAACUAACUCAAAAUGCAUUGGAUCUGACAUUCUGUAACAUUUCCUCAGGACCUAUGGCACUAGUUUUCAACAGAGAAAAGAUAACCAUAUAGAGUGAAGUUCAACUCAGAAAUGCAGUAACAAAAAUUUCGUAUUGGACAAAGCUAGCUAAUUUCAGAGUCGAAAGUAACUAGCGCAAAAUUUUAAUAAAUAAAUAAAUAUAUAUACAUAUAUAUAUAUCGUAAUAAUAAAAACGAUGUAAGGAUUACAGCAAGAAAAAUUCAUAAAUUCAGAUCAUAAUCCAAUUAUGUCACAGAGUAAAAACAAGGCUAUCUGGACUAGUCUUAAAAAUGAGCUACCUGAAAUAAUUUAAAAUGCUUGGCAGCUUUUAACACAUCCAAAGAGGUUGGCGAAUUGCCAAAGACUGAUGGCAGACUUUCCUCAAUGAUUUUCUCAAUUUCUUCAGCUGUAUAUGGUUCUUCCUUCAAAAAUUCCUAGGGUAAAGAGAGAAGAAACGUUAAUAAUCUGAUAUGGAAUGAGAAAGUGAAACCAUUAUGUUUGACUCAAACCAAACCAUAAAAUCCUGAGGUAUAGAAGGUAAUACAAAGUCCUUGAUCAUAGCCAAUCCUCAACUUGUAUUGACAAAGUGGUGAGAAGAAAGUAUUCAAGUUUCACAAUUAUGAAUUCUUAAAUACCUUGACAGCUACGACAGGAUCGGAAGAGC
rnacentral:lncRNA from 1 species